rnacentral:rRNA from 1 species
UACGUAGGGUGCGAGCGUUAAUCGGAAUUACUGGGCGUAAAGCGUGCGCAGGCGGUGAUGUAAGACCGAUGUGAAAUCCCCGGGCUUAACCUGGGAACUGCAUUGGUGACUGCAUUGCUGGAGUAUGGCAGAGGGGGGUGGAAUUCCACGUGUAGCAGUGAAAUGCGUAGAGAUGUGGAGGAACACCGAUGGCGAAGGCAGCCCCCCUGGGCCAAUACUGACGCUCAUGCACGAAAGCGUGGGGAGCAAACAG